CCUACGGGAGGCAGCAGCUAAGAAUCUUCCGCAAUGGUCGCAAGACUGACGGAGCGACGCCGCGUGGACGAAGAAUGUCGAGAGAUUGUAAAGUCCUUUUAUAGGUGAGGAAUAACUCUUAGAGGAAAUGCUAGGAGGAUGACGUUAACCUAUGAAUGAGCCCCGGCUAAUUACGUGCCAGCAGCCGCGGUAAUACGUAAGGGGCGAGCGUUGUUCGGAAUUAUUGGGCGUAAAGGGAGCGCAGGCGGUUACAUAAGUCUGAUGUGAAAGACCACAGCUCAACUGUGGGAACGCGUUGGAAACUGUGUGACUAGAGUCGUAGAGGGGGAGAUGGAAUUCCUAGUGUAGGGGUGAAAUCUGUUGAUAUUAGGAAGAACACCGGAGGCGAAGGCGAUCUCCUGGCUAAUGACUGACGCUGAGGCUCGAAAGCGUAGGGAGCAAACAGGAUUAGAUACCCUGGUAGUCUACGCCGUAAACGAUGUGCACUUGGUGUUGGAUCGUAGGAUUCAGUGCCGAAGCAAACGCGAUAAGUGCACCGCCUGGGGAGUAUGCCGGCAACGGUGAAACUCAAAUGAAUUGACGGA
rnacentral:rRNA from 1 species